GAGGGAGUUAGAGGGCAGCUUGAGCUCUACCAAAAUCAAAGAGGAAAUGCCGUAACUUAUUUUCUCAUAAGAACAAAGUUAAAGACUUGCAUUUGUAAUUUUGUUGGUGAUGGAUGGAAGCAUUGAGGGAAAAGUGCCCUGCAGCAUGAAGGAUUGGACAAGGAUGGCAGGGUAGGUGGGUGUGGGCUGGUAGUCCGAAGUCCUGUGCCUGAUGCAGCCAGAAUAUACUUGUGACCUGCCACUGUAGGCGUUCCAUUCACCAGAAAGAAAAAUGAUCAGCACACGAGUGAAAAAUGCAAUCCACAUUGUUACCCCAGGAACAUCUCUUUCUCUAACAACUUGUAAACAACAUUUUUAAAGAUGUGGUACUGGGCAGUUCCUAACGCUUAUUGGAUGAGAGAAUAAAUAUUCUACAGAAUGACCAAACUGCCUUUACAAAGGUAGUGUGCAACCGUCAAUCCUUCUCCAUCAUAGUGUCUGUGUGAGAGGUCACCAGGAUAUAUAUAAACAAGGAAUCUACCACUGAACUACAACAGCGGGUGUUCCCAUAUAUUAAACAGCCAAAUUAUAUUAAUAUUUCUAUGGUGUAGGUAGAGUUGUUAUUGUGUAUAGAA